rnacentral:rRNA from 1 species
UACGGAGGGUGCAAGCGUUAUCCGGAUUCACUGGGUUUAAAGGGUGCGUAGGCGGGCAGGUAAGUCCGUGGUGAAAUCCUAUAGCUUAACUAUGGAACUGCCAUGGAUACUAUUUGUCUUGAAUAUCGUAGAGGUAAGCGGAAUAUGUCAUGUAGCGGUGAAAUGCUUAGAUAUGACAUAGAACACCAAUUGCGAAGGCAGCUUACUAUGCGAUUAUUGACGCUGAGGCACGAAAGCGUGGGUAGCAAACAGG